rnacentral:SRP_RNA from 2 species
GGGCGGGUCCGACGCAACGGGACGGUACGAACCUGGUCAGGCCGGGAACGGAGCAGCCAUAAGUAUGCGGUUUCGUGUGCUGUCGGGGCGCCCGCCUCUC